rnacentral:misc_RNA from 1 species
GAAAUGUGAUAAGUAAUGUGAAUUGCAGAAUUCAGUGAAUCAUCGAAUCUUUGAACGCACAUUGCGCCCCUUGGUAUUCCAUGGGGCAUGCCUGUUCGAGCGUCAUUUGUACCCUCAAGCUCUGCUUGGUGUUGGGUGUUUGUCCCGUCUCCGCGCGUGGACUCGCCCCAAAGUGAUUGGCAGCCGGCGUACUGGUCCCGGAGCGCAGCACAUGUCGCGCAAACGAGUGCCUUGGUACGGCGGCGUCCAUAAGCCCCUCUCUCACGCUCUUGACCUCGGAUCAGGUAGGGAUACCCGCUGAACUUAAGC